CCUACGGGUGGCAGCAGUGAGGAAUAUUGGUCAAUGGGCGCUAGCCUGAACCAGCCAAGUAGCGUGCGGGAUGAAGGCCCUACGGGUUGUAAACCUCUUUUACACGGGAAUAACGUGCACCACGUGUAGAGCUCUGCAGGUACCGUGCGAAUAAGGGCCGGCUAACUCCGUGCCAGCAGCCGCGGUAAUACGGAGGAGCCGAGCGUUAUCCGGAUUCAUUGGGUUUAAAGGGAGCGUAGGCGGGUGGUAAAGUCAGUUGUAAAAUUUGGGGGCUCAACCGCGCACCGCAGUUGAAACUGGGAGCCUUGAGUUCACAACAGGUAGGCGGAAUUCGUGGUGUAGCGGUGAAAUGCAUAGAUAUCACGAAGAACCCCGAUUGCGAAGGCAGCCUGCCGGGGUGCGACUGACGCUGAGGCUCGAAGGUGUGGGUAUCAAACAGGAUUAGAUACCCCAGUAGUC
rnacentral:rRNA from 1 species